rnacentral:rRNA from 1 species
GGGCCCGCACAAGCGGUGGAGUAUGUGGUUUAAUUCGAUGCAACGCGAAGAACCUUACCAGGGUUUGACAUCCUGCGAAUUUCUGGGAAACCGGAAAGUGCCUUCGGGAGCGCAGUGACAGGUGGUGCAUGGCUGUCGUCAGCUCGUGUCGUGAGAUGUUGGGUUAAGUCCCGCAACGAGCGCAACCCACGUCUUUAGUUGCCAGCAUUUAGUUGGGCACUCUAGAGAGACCGCCGGUGAUAAACCGGAGGAAGGUGUGGAUGACGUCAAGUCAUCAUGCCCCUUACAUCCUGGGCUACACACGUACUACAAUGCUACGGACAAAGGGCAGCAAACUCGCGAGAGCUAGCAAAUCCCAUAAACCGUGGCUCAGUUCAGAUCGUAGGCUGCAACUCGACUGCGUGAAGCUGGAAUCGCUAGUAAUCGUGGAU